GUAGGGGGCAAGCGUUAUCCGGAUUUACUGGGUGUAAAGGGAGCGUAGACGGUUAUGCAAGUCUGAAGUGAAAGCCCAAGGCUCAACCAUGGGACUGCUUUGGAAACUGUAAAACUGGAGUGCAGGGGAGGUAAGCGGAAUUCCUAGUGUAGCGGUGAAAUGCGUAGAUAUUAGGAGGAACACCAGUGGCGAAGGCGGCUUACUGGACUGUAACUGACGUUGAGGCUCGAAGGCGUGGGGAGCAAA
rnacentral:rRNA from 1 species